UGCAGUCGAGCGGAACGAUCCUAGCUUGCUAGGAGGCGUCGAGCGGCGGACGGGUGAGUAAUGCAUAGGAAUCUGCCCGGUAGUGGGGGAUAACUUGAGGAAACUCAAGCUAAUACCGCAUACGCCCUACGGGGGAAAGCAGGGGCUCUUCGGACCUUGCGCUAUCGGAUGAGCUUAUGUCGGAUUAGCUGGUUGGUGAGGUAACGGCUCACCAAGGCGACGAUCCGUAGCUGGUCUGAGAGGAUGAUCAGCCACAUCGGGACUGAGACACGGCCCGAACUCCUACGGGAGGCAGCAGUGGGGAAUAUUGGACAAUGGGGGCAACCCUGAUCCAGCCAUGCCGCGUGUGUGAAGAAGGCCCUCGGGUUGUAAAGCACUUUCAGCGAGGAAGAAUGCUUGUCGGUUAAUACCCGGCAAGGGAGACAUCACUCGCAGAAGAAGCACCGGCUAACUCCGUGCCAGCAGCCGCGGUAAUACGGAGGGUGCGAGCGUUAAUCGGAAUUACUGGGCGUAAAGCGUGCGUAGGCGGCUUGAUAAGCCGGUUGUGAAAGCCCCGGGCUCAACCUGGGAACGGCAUCCGGAACUGUUAGGCUAGAGUGCAGGAGAGGAAGGUAGAAUUCCCGGUGUAGCGGUGAAAUGCGUAGAGAUCGGGAGGAAUACCAGUGGCGAAGGCGGCCUUCUGGACUGACACUGACGCUGAGGUACGAAAGCGUGGGUAGCAAACAGGAUUAGAUACCCUGGUAGUCCACGCCGUAAACGAUGUCGACUAGCCGUUGGGGUCCUCGAGACCUUUGUGGCGCAGUUAACGCACUAAGUCGACCGCCUGGGGAGUACGGCCGCAAGGUUAAAACUCAAAUGAAUUGACGGGGGCCCGCACAAGCGGUGGAGCAUGUGGUUUAAUUCGAUGCAACGCGAAGAACCUUACCU
rnacentral:rRNA from 1 species